UUGGUUCGUUGGGUUGUGUGCAAACUCUCAACGUUUGACAGAAAUAAUGACGUGUCCUUGUUUUAUGGUUGAUCCUUGCGUUUGAGAGAGAGAGAGGCAGAGAGGCAAUGGUGAAGAAAAGAAUACAAGAGAGAAACAAGGACCAUUGGAAGCAACCUGUGUGAAUUAAUCAGGACUGUUUAAUGUAUUAGAAACUAGUUGGGUUUUACUCUUCACCAACACGUGUGAAGAUCAGGUUGGUGGAGACCACCACUUCAUUGUGAUUUCCGGAGCAGUGUAAUUUCCCUCCAUCAUCAACGAUUUCCAAGGAGGCCACGUGGUGGUUGUGGCACUGCCAACAAAGCAGUCCAUACUUUAGCCCCAAGUGGAGUCCAACGACCAAAACUCUCUUUUUUCUUGCUUUGUUUUCUUUCUUUUAAUUUUUUUCCUUAUCCUGAUUUAAUAUUAAUUAACUUUGAUAAUACUUUUUUAAGUUGCAGAUCA